GGGGUUGUGGCUCAGGAGUUAGAGCAUCUGUUUUGUAUGCAGAAGGUCCCAGGUUCAAUCCCUGGCAUCUCCA